GACGAACGCUGGCGGCGUGCUUAACACAUGCGAGUCGAACGGAAAGGCCCUGCUUUUGUGGGGUGCUCGAGUGGCGAACGGGUGAGUAACACGUGAGUAACCUGCCCUUGACUUUGGGAUAACUUCAGGAAACUGGGGCUAAUACCGGAUAGGAGCUCCUGCUGCAUGGUGGGGGUUGGAAAGUUUCGGCGGUUGGGGAUGGACUCGCGGCUUAUCAGCUUGUUGGUGGGGUAGUGGCUUACCAAGGCUUUGACGGGUAGCCGGCCUGGGAGGGUGACCGGCCACAUUGGGACUGAGAGACGGCCCAGACUCCUACGGGAGGCAGCAGUGGGGAAUAUUGCACAGUGGGCGGAAGCCUGAUGCAGCAACGCCGCGUGCGGGAUGACGGCCUUCGGGUUGUAAACCGCUUUCGCCUGUGACGAAGCGUGAGUGACGGUAAUGGGUAAAGAAGCACCGGCUAACUACGUG
rnacentral:rRNA from 1 species